rnacentral:rRNA from 1 species
UACGGGGGGGGCAAGCGUUGUUCGGAAUUACUGGGCGUAAAGGGCUCGUAGGCGGCCAACUAAGUCAGACGUGAAAUCCCUCGGCUUAACCGGGGAACUGCGUCUGAUACUGGAUGGCUUGAGGUUGGGAGAGGGAUGCGGAAUUCCAGGUGUAGCGGUGAAAUGCGUAGAUAUCUGGAGGAGCACCGGUGGCGAAGGCGGCAUCCUGGACCAAUUCUGACGCUGAGGAGCGAAAGCCAGGGGAGCAAACGGG